AUAGCAACCGUUCCUUUUCUUUUUAUAGAAAGAUAUUCACUGUUACCUAUUCUGACUUUAGUAAUAGUUGUAGGCUUCAAUUCCUUGAAGAGAUCCUUGUCGUUUGUCAUGUGAUUAGUACAUCCACUAUCAAUCAGUCAACACUCGCUUGAUAAUUUACUUGAAAAACAUGUAGCAACAAAGAGUUGAUCUCCGUCCUCUCCAUCAACAAUCUGAACAUGUGCUUUUUGUUGCUGAUUAUUGUUCCAAGUUGAUCGCAUUUACUAUACUUAGCAUCAGGCCUUAUCCAACACUUGGUGGAUGACCUUUCUUGUUACAAUGCAUACAUGUAGGAAAACUUCUCUUUAUAUUUCCAAUUUUUCGUUUGGCAGUACCUGCUGGAGCGUUUUCACCAUUCUUCUUGUUCUUCUUCUUUUUAUUUUUAUUAUUUUAUUUUGGCCUCCAUCUUGAGGCUUGGCAAACAAUGCUCCCUCUGUAUUUCCUUCAUCUCUCAUGAUCUUUCGUUGUUCUUGAGCCUGCUAAGCAUUCAACAACUCCGCCAAGGUGAUCUUGGACAGAUCCUUGGUGUUUUCCAAAGUAGUUAUGGUUGCUUCGAAUCUUUCUGGCAUAGUUACCAGAAUUUUUUCAACAAUACGAGAAUCAUUAAAUACGGAACCAAGUAAUCUUACCCUAUUCGCUAUGUUCAAGAGCCUUUCAGAGUAAUCUUUUAUGGUUUCGGUUUCUUUCAUCUUCUUCAUCUCGAAAUCUCUUAUAAGAUUCAGAAUUUGCAUACCUAUGAUCCUUUCAUCCCCUUCAUAUUCUGACUUGAGAUAAUCCCAUAUGUCUUUGGCUGACUUUAGAGACAUAAUUCAAUUGAAAAUUGAAGAAGAUACUGCUGAAAAUAGACAGGCUUUUGCCUUUGAUUUUCUAGUUUUCCUGUCUUUAUGGUUCUUGAUCUGGGCCAUAGUUGGAUUGUUAGACAACGGAGGAAUUUCAUAAUCCUCUUCAACUCCCUCCCACAUGGCAUCUAGAUAAGUUUCCAUCCUUACAGCCCAAAUCUGAUAGUUUUCACCAUUAAAAACAGGUGGUGCCAUUGUUGAAAAACUUGAUUCCGUUUCCAUGCUUCACAAACUUGCCUUGUUUCAAUUCUUACUUUUUUGAAACACCCACUGAUCCCUCAAGAAAUAAGUGCUCUGAUAUCAAUUGUGAGUUUCCAGAGAGUGAAAACAUAAGAAACUAAUUUUACUUGUUGAUAAACAAGUGGAACAUGAGUUGGAUAAAUUAACAGAGAGAUAUUGAUGAAAGCAAAAAUCUACAGUUUUAUUAAGAAUUCAGACUUAUUUAUAAACUACAAUUUUAACAGAAAAAGUGACCAACUCCUAAAGAUUAGGAUUAGACAGAAACUAACUAACUGCCAACUAAUAUUAACUUCUAUACAGAUAACAUAGAAGUCAGACUGUUGCAUCUCUUAUUCAUUUUUCUAACAGAAUGUACCAAAAUGUCUUUUAAUCUUUGUGCAUUCAUUUCUUAUUUGUAAAUCAUUUGCAGGUAAAGGAAGACCUUGCUGCAGUUCAAUAUAGAUUUUUGUUCUUGCACAUGCAUGUUUCGAUGGACACUACACUCAAAAACCAAAGAGAAUUCAAAUUCUUCUUACUUAUACAUUUCCUUACAUAAUUUUUACAAUUGCCAUAGUCUUUCAUAACUUCUCUACCAACUUUAUUGUCUUGUUUGUGAAAAUAUUUGCAGGUAAAGGAAGUCUCUGUUUCAGAUUGCUUCAUACUUUUAGACUUGUAAGUACAUGUUUUGACGACAACUAUGCUGCUGAAACAAAGCACCAGUAAUGAAGAUUCAUGAUGUUGAUGCUGUAAUUGGAGAAUGGAGCAUAUCGGAAACGCUCUCCUGCACCAACAAUGAUGUGAAACUUCUUCGCAGAACUCAUGAUGUGGUUGUUGUAAUUGGAAAGACAACUAGGCAAUAACUCAUGAUGUGGAUGUUGUAAUUGGAAAGGUGAACUAGGGAAUAACUCAGGAUCUGAAUGUGAAUGAACUUCAUAGUUUGAAACAUCUUUAGUAA